rnacentral:lncRNA from 1 species
AUGGCACCUGGGUCAGCGCUCCAUACUCGUCCUGAGGUGCGUGUUAGUCGGCUGGUGAAGAUGGUGCCAGUCUCACGUACCAGGCCUCCUGUGCACCUCCCUAGCCUUGCACGUCCUGUGCCAGCACCGCUCUCAAGAUCUCCAGUACGCCUUCACGGUCUAACCCAUCCAGUACCACCUCCACACCCCAGCCCUCCGGUAGCAGCUCCCCGCACCAGGCUUCCUGUGCGUGUCCUCGGCCCAGUACCACCAGUGCCAGCACCACGCAUCAGGCCUACAGUGCGCCUCGCCUGUCCAGCGCUGUCGGAGCCCUCCUCCUCUCCAGCGCUGUCGGAGUCUCCCGCCUGUUUAGCGCUGUUAGAGCCUUCCUUCUCUACAGCGCUGCCGGAGUCUCCCGCCUGUUCAGAACUGCCAGUUAGCAUAGAGCUGCCAGUUAGCAUAGAGCUGCCAGUUAGCAUAGAGCUGCCAGUUAGCAUAGAGCUGCCAGUUAGCAUAGAGCUGCCAGUCUGCAUAGAGCUGCCAGUCUGCAAGGAGCUGCCAGUCUGCAUAGAGCUGCCAGUCUGCAAGGAGCUGCCAGUCUGCAAGGAGCCGCCAGAGCUGCCAGUCUGCAGGAUGCCGCCAAAGCUGCCAGUCUGCAAGGAGCCGCCAGAGCUGCCAGUCUGCAAGGAGCAGCCAGAGCUGCCAGUUAGCAUGGAGCAGCCAGGGCCGCCAGUCAGUAUGGAGCAGCCAGGGCCGCCAGUCAGUAUGGAGCAGCCAGGGCCGCCAGUCAGCAUGGAGCAGCCAGGGCCGCCAGUCAGCAUGGAGCAGCCAGUCAGCAUGGAGCAGCCAGAGCAGCCAGUCAGCAUGGAGCAGCCAGAGCAGCCAGUCAGCAUGGAGCAGCCAGAGCUGCCAGUCAGCAUGGAGCAGCCAGUCAGCAUGGAGCAGCCAGAGCUGCCAGUCAGCAUGGAGCAGCCAGAGCUGCCAGUCAUCAUGGAGCAGCCAGUCAGCAUGGAGCAGCCAGAGCUGCCAGUCGACCAGACUCUUCCAGAGCUGCCAGUCGACCAGACUCUUCCAGAGCUGCCAGUCGACCAGACUCUUCCAGAGCUGCCAGUCGACCAGACUCUUCCAGAGCUGCCAGUCGACCAGACUCUUCCAGAUCUGCCAGUCGACCAGACUCUUCCAGAUCUGCCAGUCGACCAGACUCUUCCAGAUCUGCCAGUCGACCAGACUCUUCCAGAUCUGCCAGUCGACCAGACUCUUCCAGAUCUGCCAGUCGACCAGACUCUUCCAGAUCUGCCAGUCAGCCAGGAUCUGCCAGUCAGCCAGGAUCUGCCGAAACCACCAGCCAGCCAGGAUCUGGUAGAUUCAUCAACCUGCCUGAGCUUCCCCUCACUCCUGAGCUUCCCCUCACUCCUGAGCUUCCCCUCACUCCUGAGCUUCCCCUCAGUCCCGAGCUGCCUCAGUCCCGAGCUGCCCCUCAGUCCCGAUCUGCUCCUCAGUCCAGUGGGGUUCUGGGUGAGGACUACUAGGCCAUGGUCGGCGGCGAGGGUGGACUAUCCAGGGACGCGAGGAGAAGGGACUAAGACAUUGAUUGAGUGGGGUCCACGUCCCGUGCCGGAGCCGCCACCAUGGACAGACGCCCACCCGGACCCUCCCUAUUGUUAUGAGGUGCGUUCGGGAGUCCGCACCUUAGGGGGGGGGGGUUCUGUCACACCCUGGUCAAAGUAUUUUGUGUUUAUCUUUAUUUAUUUGGUCAGGCCAGGGUGUGGCAUGGGUUUUUGUAUGUGGUGUGUAUGUAUGGGGAUUGUAGCUAGUGGGGUGUUCUAG